rnacentral:rRNA from 1 species
CCUACGGGAGGCUGCAGUGAGGAAUAUUGGUCAAUGGACGAGAGUCUGAACCAGCCAAGUAGCGUGAAGGAUGACUGCCCUAUGGGUUGUAAACUUCUUUUAUAUGGGAAUAAACUGUUCCACGUGUGGGAUUUUGUAUGUACCAUAUGAAUAAGGAUCGGCUAACUCCGUGCCAGCAGCCGCGGUAAUACGGAGGAUCCGAGCGUUAUCCGGAUUUAUUGGGUUUAAAGGGAGCGUAGGUGGAUUGUUAAGUCAGUUGUGAAAGUUUGCGGCUCAACCGUAAAAUUGCAGUUGAAACUGGCAGUCUUGAGUACAGUAGAGGUGGGCGGAAUUCGUGGUGGAGCGGUGAAAUGCUUAGAUAUCACGAAGAACUCCGAUUGCGAAGGCAGUUCACUGGACUGCAACUGACACUGAGGCUCGAAAGUGUGGGUAUCAAACAGGAUUAGAUACCCUUGUAGUC